UACACUCCUACGGGAGGCAGCAGUGGGGAAUAUUGCACAAUGGGCGCAAGCCUGAUGCAGCCAUGCCGCGUGUAUGAAGAAGGCCUUCGGGUUGUAAAGUACUUUCAGCGGGGAGGAAGGCAAUACGGUUAAUAACCGUGUUGAUUGACGUUACCCGCAGAAGAAGCACCGGCUAACUCCGUGCCAGCAGCCGCGGUAAUACGGAGGGUGCAAGCGUUAAUCGGAAUUACUGGGCGUAAAGCGCACGCAGGCGGUCUGUCAAGUCGGAUGUGAAAUCCCCGGGCUCAACCUGGGAACUGCAUUCGAAACUGGCAGGCUUGAGUCUUGUAGAGGGGGGUAGAAUUCCAGGUGUAGCGGUGAAAUGCGUAGAGAUCUGGAGGAAUACCGGUGGCGAAGGCGGCCCCCUGGACAAAGACUGACGCUCAGGUGCGAAAGCGUGGGGAGCAAACAGGAUUAGAUACCCCGGUAGUCCCAUG
rnacentral:rRNA from 1 species